rnacentral:rRNA from 1 species
GACGAACGCUGGCGGCGUGCUUAACACAUGCAAGUCGAACGGAAAGGCCCUUCUUUUGUGGUGUGCUCGAGUGGCGAACGGGUGAGUAACACGUGAGUAACCUGCCCUUGACUUUGGGAUAACUUCAGGAAACUGGGGCUAAUACCGGAUCGGAGCUCCUGCUGCAUGGUGGGGGUUGGAAAGUUUCGGCGGUUGGGGAUGGACUCGCGGCUUAUCAGCUUGUUGGUGGGGUAGUGGCUUACCAAGGCUUUGACGGGUAGCCGGCCUGAGAGGGUGACCGGCGACAUGGGGACUGAGAGACGGACCAGACUCCUACGGGAGGCAGCAGUGGGGAAUAUGGCACAAUGGGCGGAAGCGUGAGGCAGCAACGCCGCGUGCGGGAUGACGGCCUUCGGGUUGUAAACCGCUUGCGCCUGUGACGAAGCGUGAGUGACGGUAAUGGGUAAAGAAGCACCGGCUAACUACGUG